GUAACACCGCCCGUCGCUUCUACAGAUUGAAUGCUGCGAUGAGGACUCAGGAUUGGUUUGCUGUUUUAGUCUGAAAGGAUCAUAGAGUGAACUGAGAAUUUGUUCGAAUCUUAUUGUUUAGAUGAAGGAGAAGUCGUAACAAGGUUUUCGUAGGUGAACCUGCAGAAGGAUCA
rnacentral:rRNA from 1 species